CCUACGGGUGGCUUCAGUGGGGAAUAUUGGACAAUGGGGGGAACCCUGAUCCAGCCAUGCCGCGUGUGUGAAGAAGGCCCUCGGGUUGUAAAGCACUUUCAGUGAGGAAGAACGCCUGGUGGUUAAUACCCAUCAGGAAAGACAUCACUCACAGAAGAAGCACCGGCUAACUCCGUGCCAGCAGCCGCGGUAAUACGGAGGGUGCGAGCGUUAAUCGGAAUUACUGGGCGUAAAGCGCGCGUAGGUGGCUUGAUAAGCCGGUUGUGAAAGCCCCGGGCUCAACCUGGGAACGGCAUCCGGAACUGUCAAGCUAGAGUGCAGGAGAGGAAGGUAGAAUUCCCGGUGUAGCGGUGAAAUGCGUAGAGAUCGGGAGGAAUACCAGUGGCGAAGGCGGCCUUCUGGACUGACACUGACACUGAGGUGCGAAAGCGUGGGUAGCAAACAGGAUUAGAUACCCUGGUAGUC
rnacentral:rRNA from 1 species